rnacentral:rRNA from 1 species
ACGUAGGGUGCAAGCGUUAAUCGGGAUUACUGGGCGUAAAGCGUGCGCAGGCGGUUUUGUAAGACAGAGGUGAAAUCCCCGGGCUUAACCUGGGAAUGGCGCUUGUGACUGGCGGGCUGGAGUACGGCAGAGGGGGGUGGAAUUCCACGUGUAGCAGUGAAAUGCAUAAAAAUGUGGAGGAACACCGAUAGCGAAGGCAGCCCCCUGGGCCGAUACUGACGCUCAUGCACGAAAGCGUGGGGAGCAAACAG